CCCUCGAUAGCUCAGUUGGUAGAGCGGAAGGACUCGUAAUCCUCUAGGUCGCUGGUUCAAAUCCAGCUCGAAGGA